rnacentral:lncRNA from 1 species
AAGACAAAAGAAGCAAGUUGCUGGGGAGAGGGAGAGAACUCGGUUAGAAAGCGGCUGAUGUAGCUGGAAGAUAUCAGCCAGGUUUUGGCACACAAUCCUUUCUUCACAUCUUCAGCUCAUCAGUUGGGUUAUUGAGAAGAUCAGCUAAAAAGACCUUGGAAAAUGCCACAGACAUCACCUCUCCCAGCUGCGUCUCUAUUUCUUCUGCUUCUCCUGUUUGUCCCUGGCCAGAGUGGUGAAGAAAAUGCAUUUCUUGAACAGUCAACAGACGUGGUCAGUGUUUGGGAAGGAGACUCCGUCAGCAUAACUUGCUCAAUGUACAAUUCAAAAAAUGAACUGGGGACAUACUUGAGGACUAGAGUAUCACCAGAAAAUGUUUUAUAUGUUCCCAAGGAUAACAAACCAGCUGUCCCUUCAGCUUUUGCGAAUCGCAUCAAGUAUUCAAAGGAAGGAGCAAAAUUCACAGUAACUCUGCUCAAUGCACAGGAAUCUGAUUCAAAUUUCUACCUAUGCGUCAGGUUUAUUAAAAGAAACGGCCGUCACGUCAGGCUGGAUGGGAAGACAACCAUUGUAGUGGUGAAAGCUGCUGUGGUUCCACCUGUUAAGUUAGGAAUUAAUAAACAUGGAGGUAUGUUUUAAAUCAAAGAUUGGAAAAAAGCAUAGUGGGAGGGACAGUCUAACAGAACUUUACCCAUGUUUGCUCAGGUAACGUACUGAUUUGAAGGAAAGUGUAAGCCUGUUCUGUGAAAAGAUGAAGAAAACAUCUGAAACAUCACUUCAUGACUAAUUUAAUCCUAGCUACUUUCCAGAGACUUUCACAUGAGUCAGAAGUGUUAUGGCAGCAGGGUGGAAACAGUGAGGGCCCAUAGCUGUUUUCAAAACCAUCUGCUAAAUCUUUAUGAAAAUGAACCAACAAUGAACCCUGAUUUUGGUAGCAGCUUUUGCAAAUCUCUUUUGGUUUUGCUAUUCCAUCUGGAAUGAUAAACCGAAAAUAACCAAGAAGCUGAUGCUAGGUAGGGUUUGUGAGUUGGACGUCAGUGGAUACAGGGAUGCAUGGUUUUUAUCUCUUUAGAAAACAGUUAAAGAAUGGCCACGUUUUCCUCUUGGCAGUCAUUUCUGGUUAGGGGAAGAUUUUUUCUGUCUUUGCCCUACCCCCCCCCCCCCCCCUUUUUUU